UAAAAUUUUUAUUUUCAGUAUUUAGUUCUUUAUAAAUUAUUUAUUUAAUUUGGGUUAUACUUUUAAAAACUAAAAAAUGUUGUGCCAGCAUUUGCGGUUAUACAUCAAGUUUAAGCUAAUUAAUUUAGAGUUUAGUUUUUUAAUUUUAUUAUUUUUUAUUUGGGUGAAAUCUAUAUAUUUUAUUUUAUUUUUAUUCUAAAUAGAUUUGGAUUUAAACCAGGAUUAGAUACCCUGUUAUUCAAAAUUAACUUAAAAAUUUCUAAGGUAGUAUAUUUUGAUGAUUGAAAUUUAAUGGAUCUGGCGGUUUUUAAAUCUUUUUAGAGGAACCUGUUAUUUAAAUGAUAGUCCACGAUCUCUUUUACCCCCCCCUUUCUUGUAUAUCGCUGUCGUUGAGUGUUAUGAAAGUUUAUUUUCUUUUUCUUUUUUUAGAUUUAUGUUAGGUCAAGAUGCAGUUAUGUGGGGGUUAUUAUGGGUUACUUUAAUUUUUGUUUGGGGAUAACUUAUAUUGUUUAAUUUUUAAUUUGGAUUUAAUAGUAAUUUUUUUUAUUUAAUUUUAUGAAUUUAGCUCUUAAUUAUGUACAUAUCGCCCGUCACUCUCAUAAAAUGAGAUAAGUCGUAACAAAGUAGAUGUACCGGAAGGUGUAUCUAGAAACGG
rnacentral:rRNA from 1 species